rnacentral:rRNA from 1 species
AACGAACGCUGGCGGCAUGCCUAACACAUGCAAGUCGAACGAGACCUUCGGGUCUAGUGGCGCACGGGUGCGUAACGCGUGGGAACCUGCCCUUAGGUUCGGAAUAACUCCCCGAAAGGGGUGCUAAUACCGGAUAAUGUCUUCGGACCAAAGAUUUAUCGCCUUUGGAUGGGCCCGCGUUGGAUUAGCUAGUUGGUAGGGUAAAAGCCUACCAAGGCGACGAUCCAUAGCUGGUCUGAGAGGAUGAUCAGCCACACUGGGACUGAGACACGGCCCAGACUCCUACGGGAGGGAGCAGUGGGGAAUAUUGGACGAGGGGCGAAAGCCUGAUACAGCAAUGCCGCGUGAGUGAUGAAGGCCUUAGGGUUGUAAAGCUCUUUUACCCGGGAUGAUAAUGACAGUACCGGGAGAAUAAGCUCCGGCUAACUCCGUG